UACGUAGGGUGCGAGCGUUAAUCGGAAUUACUGGGCGUAAAGCGUGCGCAGGCGGUUUGUUAAGACAGAUGUGAAAUCCCCGGGCUUAACCUGGGAACUGCAUUUGUGACUGGCAAGCUAGAGUAUGGCAGAGGGGGGUAGAAUUCCACGUGUAGCAGUGAAAUGCGUAGAGAUGUGGAGGAAUACCGAUGGCGAAGGCAGCCCCCUGGGCCAAUACUGACGCUCAUACACGAAAGCGUGGGGAGCAAACAGG
rnacentral:rRNA from 1 species